rnacentral:rRNA from 1 species
UACGAGGGGGGCGAGCGUUGUUCGGAAUUAUUGGGCGUAAAGGGCGCGUAGGCGGUGCGGCAAGUCACCUGUGAAACCUCUAGGCUUAACCUAGAGCCUGCAGGCGAAACUGCCGUGCUGGAGUGUGGGAGAGGUGCGUGGAAUUCCCGGUGUAGCGGUGAAAUGCGUAGAUAUCGGAAGGAACGCCGGUGGCGAAAGCGGCGUGCUGGACCCCUUCUGACGCUGAGGCGCGAAAGCCAGGGGAGCAAACGGG